GAGAGAGAGAGAGAGAGAGAGAGAGUAUGUGUGUCCAGCAAUGGUGAUUUAAAAGCACUAAGCAUUUGGUGUUUGCAAGUUUUCCACCGUUAGAUUUAUAUCCUUUUGAUCAAUUGCACCCCUUAGAUCACGCUAUUCCACAAACCACCCACUCAACCUUACGGACCACUAUUAUCCUAACUUUACAAAUCUUCAUUCAAAGGUGGAAAUCCCACAAGCUACU
rnacentral:lncRNA from 1 species